AGAGUUUGAUCCUGGCUCAGGACGAACGCUGGCGGCGUGCCUAACACAUGCAAGUCGAGCGGAGACAGUGAGUAGCUUGCUAUGAGCUGUUUUAGCGGCGGACGGGUGAGUAACGCGUGAGCAACCUUUCCCAGACAGGGGAAUAACACACCGAAAGGUGUACUAAUACCGCAUAAGACCACGGGAUCACAUGGUUCUGGGGUAAAAGAAUUAUCGGUUUGGGGUGGGCUCGCGUCCGAUUAGGUAGUUGGUGAGGUAACGGCCCACCAAGCCGACGAUCGGUAGCCGACCUGAGAGGGUGAUCGGCCACAUUGGGACUGAGACACGGCCCAAACUCCUACGGGAGGCAGCAGUGGGGAAUAUUGGGCAAUGGAGGAAACUCUGACCCAGCAACGCCGCGUGGAGGAAGAAGGUUUUCGGAUCGUAAACUCCUGUCCUUGGAGACGAGUAGAAGACGGUAUCCAAGGAGGAAGCCCCGGCUAACUACGUGCCAGCAGCCGCGGUAAUACGUAGGGGGCAAGCGUUGUCCGGAAUAAUUGGGCGUAAAGGGCGCGUAGGCGGCUCGGUAAGUCUGGAGUGAAAGUCCUGCUUUUAAGGUGGGAAUUGCUUUGGAUACUGUCGGGCUUGAGUGCAGGAGAGGUUAGUGGAAUUCCCAGUGUAGCGGUGAAAUGCGUAGAGAUUGGGAGGAACACCAGUGGCGAAGGCGACUAACUGGACUGUAACUGACGCUGAGGCGCGAAAGUGUGGGGAGCAAACAGGAUUAGAUACCCUGGUAGUCCACACUGUAAACGAUGAAUGCUAGGUGUAGGGGGUAUCGACCCCUUCUGUGCCGCAGUCAACACAAUAAGCAUUCCGCCUGGGGAGUACGGCCGCAAGGUUGAAACUCAAAGGAAUUGACGGGGGC
rnacentral:rRNA from 1 species